rnacentral:rRNA from 1 species
ACAUACGACCACACCCACCGGAGAACUCGGGAUCCCGUCCGCUCUCCAUCGAUAAACCGUUGAGGGCCGGAGUAGUAGUUGGGUAGGAGACGAUCAGCGAAUGCCCGGUGUUGUAUGUA